ACCUGAUGCAGCGACGCCGCGUGAGGGAUGAAGGCCUUCGGGUUGUAAACCUCUUUCAGCAGGGAAGAAGCGAAAGUGACGGUACCUGCAGAAGAAGCACCGGCUAACUACGUGCCAGCAGCCGCGGUAAUACGUAGGGUGCGAGCGUUGUCCGGAAUUAUUGGGCGUAAAGAGCUUGUAGGCGGUUUGUCGCGUCUGCCGUGAAAAUCCGGGGCUCAACCCCGGACUUGCGGUGGGUACGGGCAGACUAGAGUGUGGUAGGGGAGACUGGAAUUCCUGGUGUAGCGGUGAAAUGCGCAGAUAUCAGGAGGAACACCGAUGGCGAAGGCAGGUCUCUGGGCCACUACUGACGCUGAGAAGCGAAAGCGUGGGGAGCGAACAGGAUUAGAUACCCUGGUAGUCCACGCCGUAAACGUUGGGAACUAGGUGUGGGUCUCAUUCCACGAGAUCUGUGCCGCAGCUAACGCAUUAAGUUCCCCGCCUGGGGAGUACGGCCGCAAGGCUA
rnacentral:rRNA from 1 species